rnacentral:rRNA from 1 species
GCAGUCGCCACGGGAAUACAGAGGGUGCGAGCGUUAAUCGGAUUUACUGGGCGUAAAGCGUGCGUAGGCGGCUUUUUAAGUCGGAUGUGAAAUCCCUGAGCUUAACUUAGGAAUUGCAUUCGAUACUGGGAAGCUAGAGUAUGGGAGAGGAUGGUAGAAUUCCAGGUGUAGCGGUGAAAUGCGUAGAGAUCUGGAGGAAUACCGAUGGCGAAGGCAGCCAUCUGGCCUAAUACUGACGCUGAGGUACGAAAGCAUGGGGAGCAAACAGGAUUAGAUACCCCUGUAGUCCCUGUCUCUUAUAC